rnacentral:rRNA from 1 species
GCAACGAGCGCAACCCCUACUGCCAGUUAUAACAGGUAAUGCUGAGGACUCUGGCGGAACUGCCGGUGACAAACCGGAGGAAGUGGGAUGACGUCAAGUCCUCAUGGCCCUUAUGUCCAGGGCUACACACGUGCUACAAUGGCCGGUACAGAGUGACGCGAAGCCGCGAGGUGGAGCAAAUCGCAGAAAGCCGGCCUUAGUUCGGAUUGGAGUCUGAAACUCGACUCCAUGAAGGUGGAAUCGCUAGUAAUCGCGCAUCAGCAUGGCGCGGUGAAUACGUUCCCGGGCCUU